rnacentral:rRNA from 1 species
GAUGAAGGCCAGAUUGAAGGUCUUGCCAGACUAGCUGAGAGGAGGUGCAUGGCCGUCGCCAGUUCGUGCCGUGAGGUAUCCCGUUAAGUCGGGCAACGAGCGAGACCCACACCCCUAGUUGCUAACGGGCUCCGAAAGGAACCCGUGCACUCUAGGGGGACCGCCGCCGAUAAGGCGGAGGAAGGAGUGGGCCACGGCAGGUCAGUAUGCCCCGAAUCCCCCGGGCCACACGUGAGCUGCAAUGGCGGGGACAAUGGGAUCCGACCCCGAAAGGGGAAGGUAAUCCCCAAACCCCGCCUCAGUUGGGAUCGAGGGCUGAAACCCGUCCUCGUGAACAUGGAAUCCCUAGUAAUCGCGCGUCAUCAGCGCGCGGUGAAUACGUCCCUGCUCCUUGCACACACCGCCCGUCGCUCCAACCGAGCUGAGUCCAGGUGAGGUAUGGUCGUGUUGGCCAUAUCGAACUUGGACUCAGCGAGGGGGGAGAAGUCGUAACAAGGUGGCCGUAGG